rnacentral:lncRNA from 1 species
CUAUCAUCGUGACCACAGCCACGACACGGAGGAGUGUAUUCAGCUCCGAGAUGAAAUCAAGGAGCUCAUCAAGCGGGGUCAGCUCGACAGAUUUAUCCGAUGCCGGUCUGAAGGUAGGGAGGAUCGGCUAAGGGCCCUACCACAACCGAAGCCGCCAAGGAGGGAAGAACAGCCUAGAGAUCGGCCUCCAAUCGGGAUCAUCAACACCAUCUCUGGAGGGCCCCGGAGGGGAGUGGCCAGUGGAUCGGUCGGACCGCUUAAGCAGCAAAGAACUGAAGGAUCUAUAACCUUUACUGAAGAAGAUGCCCGG